rnacentral:rRNA from 1 species
GUCAGCUCGUGUCGUGAGAUGUUGGGUUAAGUCCCGCAACGAGCGCAACCCCUGUCCUUAGUAGCCAGCAUUUCGGGUGGGCACUCUAGGGAGACUGCCAGGGAUAACCUGGAGGAAGGCGGGGAUGACGUCAAAUCAUCAUGCCCCUUAUGGCUUGGGCUACACACGUGCUACAAUGGCGUAAACAAAGGGAAGCGAGCCCGCGAGGGGGAGCGAAUCCCAAAAAUAACGUCCCAGUUCGGACUGUAGUCUGCAACCCGACUACACGAAGCUGGAAUCGCUAGUAAUCGCGAAUCAGAAUGUCGCGGUGAAUACGUUCCCGGGUCUUGUACACACCGCCCGUCACACCAUGGGAGUCGGGAAUGCCCGAAGCCGGUGACCCAACCGAAAGGAGGGAGCCGUCGAAGGCAGGUCUGAUAACUGGGGUGAAGUCGUAACAAGG